rnacentral:rRNA from 1 species
GAUGAACGCUGGCGGCGUGCCUAAUACAUGCAAGUCGAGCGAACAGAUGAGAAGCUUGCUUCUCUGAUGUUAGCGGCGGACGGGUGAGUAACACGUGGGUAACCUACCUAUAAGACUGGGAUAACUCUGGGAAACCGGGGCUAAUACCGGAUAAUAUUUUGAACCGCAUGGUUCAAUGGUGAAAGACGGUUUCGGAUGUCACUUAUAGAUGGACCUGAGCCGUAUUAGCCAGUUGGAAAGGUAACGGCUUACCAAGGCGACGAUACGUAGACGACCUGAGAGGGUGAUCGGCCACACUGGAACUGAGACACGGUCCAGACUCCUACGGGAGGCAGCAGUAGGGAAUCUUCCGCAAUGGGCGAAAGCCUGACGGAGCAACGCCGCGUGAGUGAUGAAGGUCUUCGGAUCGUAAAACUCUGUUGUUAGGGAAGAACAAAUUUGUUAGUAACUGAACAAGUCUUGACGGUACCUAACCAGAAAGCCACGGCUAACUACGUGCUAGCAGCCGCCGUAA